GAUGAACGCUGGCGGCGUGCUUAACACAUGCAAGUCGAACGAAGCACUUUAAUCGAUUUCUUCGGAUCGAAAUUUUAGUGACUGAGUGGCGGACGGGUGAGUAACGCGUGGGUAACCUGCCUCACACAGGGGGAUAACAGUUGGAAACGGCUGCUAAUACCGCAUAAGCGCACAGUACCGCAUGGUACGGUGUGAAAAACUCCGGUGGUGUGAGAUGGACCCGCGUCUGAUUAGCUAGUUGGCAGGGCAGCGGCCUACCAAGGCGACGAUCAGUAGCCGACCUGAGAGGGUGACCGGCCACAUUGGGACUGAGACACGGCCCAAACUCCUACGGGAGGCAGCAGUGGGGAAUAUUGCACAAUGGGGGAAACCCUGAUGCAGCGACGCCGCGUGAGCGAAGAAGUAUUUCGGUAUGUAAAGCUCUAUCAGCAGGGAAGAAGAAAUGACGGUACCUGACUAAGAAGCACCGGCUAAAUACGUGCCAGCAGCCGCGGUAAUACGUAUGGUGCAAGCGUUAUCCGGAUUUACUGGGUGUAAAGGGAGCGCAGGCGGAAGGCUAAGUCUGAUGUGAAAGCCCGGGGCUCAACCCCGGUACUGCAUUGGAAACUGGUCAUCUAGAGUGUCGGAGGGGUAGGCGGAAUUCCCGGUGUAGCGGUGGAAUGCGUAGAUAUCGGGAGGAACACCAGUGGCGAAGGCGGCCUACUGGGCACCAACUGACGCUGAGGCUCGAAAGUGUGGGUAGCAAACAGGAUUAGAUACCCUGGUAGUCCACACUGUAAACGAUGAUUACUAGGUGUUGGAGGAUUGACCCCUUCAGUGCCGCAGUUAACACAAUAAGUAAUCCACCUGGGGAGUACGACCGCAAGGUUGAAACUCAAAGGAAUUGACGGGGGCCCGCACAAGCAGUGGAGUAUGUGGUUUAAUUCGACGCAACGCGAAGAACCUUACCAAGUCUUGACAUCCCUUGACGAUGCUGGAAACAGUAUUUCUCUUCGGAGCAAGGAGACAGGUGGUGCAUGGUUGUCGUCAGCUCGUGUCGUGAGAUGUUGGGUUAAGUCCCGCAACGAGCGCAACCCUUAUGGUCAGUUACUACGCAAGAGGACUCUGGCCAGACUGCCGUUGACAAAACGGAGGAAGGUGGGGAUGACGUCAAAUCAUCAUGCCCUUUAUGACUUGGGCUACACACGUACUACAAUGGCGUUAAACAAAGAGAAGCAAGACCGCGAGGUGGAGCAAAACUCAGAAACAACGUCCCAGUUCGGACUGCAGGCUGCAACUCGCCUGCACGAAGUCGGAAUUGCUAGUAAUCGCAGAUCAGCAUGCUGCGGUGAAUACGUUCCCGGGCCU
rnacentral:rRNA from 1 species